ACGUCAGCACUGAGGUGGCUCCGCCUCGCGGAAGUGCGCAGGCAGCCGCCAAGCCCGCGAGGGGCGGGGCCUCCGCGCCCCUCCCCCGGCCUAUCAGGGCCCGCCCCGCCCUCCGGAAGAACCACGUCGUCGCCUCCGCGGCAGCGACGACGUGUAGGUCCCGCAGGGGCCGGCCCCCGGCCUCGUGAACUCUGACCCGGUACACCGGACGGACGGAGAUCUCUUUCCGGGACAAGAUGGCGCCCUCCACCCCGCUGCUGGCAGUCCGAGGAUCAGAGGGGCUCUACAUGGUGAAUGGGCCACCAAAUUUCACAGAAAAUACAGUGUUUCUAAGGGAAUCAGGGAAAAAUUGCAAAGUCUAUGCCUUUAGCAAGGAUGGAAGUCUGUUUGCUUGGUGUAAUGGAGAAAAAGUAAAUCUUGUGAAUGUUGCUGACAAUGGGUUGCUGCAUUCCUUCAAUCUUCCAAAAGCAGUUUGCCUUGAAUUUUCACCAAAAAAUAGUGUCCUAGCAAUAUGGCAGCCUUACACAACUUCUAAAGAUGGCACAUCAGGAGUACCUAAUCUACAACUUUAUGAUGUAAAAACUGGAAAAUGUUUAAAGUCUUUUAUCCAGAAGAAGAUGCAGAACUGGUGUCCAUCUUGGGCAGAUGAUGAAAGCAUUUGUGCUAGAAACGUUAAUAAUGAAGUUCACUUCUUUGAAAACAACAACUUCAGUACAAUUGCAAACAAACUUCAUUUACAAAAAAUUAGUGAUUUUGUAUUAUCACCAGGACCCCAGCCAUGCAAGGUGGCUGUCUAUGUUCCUGGCAGCAAGGGAGCUCCAUCAUUUGUAAGGCUGUACCAGUACCCCAGUUUUAGUGGCCCUCAUGCUGCACUGGCUAACAAAAGCUUCUUUAAGGCUGAUAAGGUGACAAUGCUGUGGAAUAAAAAAGCCACUGCUGUGUUAGUAAUUGCUAGUACAGAUGUUGACAAGACUGGAGCUUCUUAUUAUGGAGAACAAACCCUACACUACAUUGCAACCAAUGGAGAAAGUGCUGUGGUGCAAUUACCAAAAAAUGGUCCCAUAUAUGAUGUAGUAUGGAAUACCAGUUCCACCGAGUUUUGUGCCGUUUAUGGUUUUAUGCCAGCCAAAGCUACAAUUUUUAAUUUGAAAUGUGAUCCUGUGUUUGAUUUUGGAACUGGUCCUCGGAAUGCAGCCUACUACAGCCCUCAUGGAAAUAUAUUAGUACUUGCUGGGUUUGGAAAUCUCCGGGGACAGAUGGAAGUGUGGGAUGUUAAAAACUACAAACUUAUUUCCAAACCAGUGGCUUCAGAUUCGACGUACUUUGCCUGGUGCCCAGAUGGAGAGCAUAUUGUAACUGCUACAUGUGCUCCAAGGUUACGCGUUAGUAAUGGAUACAAGAUUUGGCAUUAUACUGGCUCAAUUCUACACAAAUAUGAUGUCCCAUCCAAUGCAGAAAUAUGGCAAGUAUCCUGGCAGCCAUUUUUGGAUGGAGUAUUUCCAGCAAAAGCAGUAACUUAUCAAGCAGUACCAAGUGAAGUGCCAGAGGUGGAGUCUAAGGUUGCAACAGCUUACAGACCUCCAGCCUUAAGAAACAAACCCAUAACUAGCUCCAAGCUGCAUGAGGAUGAACCACCUCAGAAUAUGAAACCGCCAUUAUCUAAGACAGCUCUGAAAAAUCAAAGAAAACAUGAAGCCAAGAAAGCUGCCAAGCAGGAAGCCAGAAACGAAGGCAGUCAGGAUUUGGCCCUUAAUCCAGCUCCACAGCAGAACCCCCCACGGAAUGUCUCUCUGCCAACAUCGGGAGACCCUGAGGUAGACAAAAAAAUCAAGAACCUGAGAAAGACUUCUCUCUGGGUAUAGAUGGCUCUCUUCUUCACAAGAUCAUUGGAACUGGCCUUCGUCAUCUCACUGUUGAAAAGUCACGUCUGUCAGAAUCGGUCCUCAUAUAAUCUUCUUGUUGUCAUGUACAAUAAUCUGGUUCUCCUCAUUUCACAUCUGUUCAUGUAAGUCUCUCCAGGCCUUUCUAAAAUUAUCUUCCUGCUCAUUUUUCUUUUCUUUUUUUAAAAAUUAUUAUAACUUUUUAUUUACAAAGCAUAUGCAUGGGUAAUUUUUCAACACUGACCUUUGCAAAGCCUUCUUUCCAAAGUUUCCCCUCUUUCCCUCCACCCACUCCCCCAGAUAGCAGGUGUUCCAAUAUAUGUUAAAUAUGUUAAAAUAUAUGUUGAAUCCAGAAUAUGUAUAUAUAUAUAUCCAUUCAGUUAUCUUGCUGCACAAGGAAAAUUGGAUCUAGAAAGAAAAAAACCUAAAGGAAAACAAAAAUGCAAGCAACAACAAAAAGAAUGAAAAUGCUAUAUUGUGGUCCACACUCAGUUCCACAGUCCUCUCCCCGAGUGUAGAUGGCUCUCUUUAUUACUGAAGAAUUGGAACUGGUCUGAAUCAAUUCAUUAUUGGAGAGCUCCAUCCAUUAGAAUUGAUCAUUAUAUAGUCUUGUUGCCAUGUACAAUGAUCACCUGGUUCUGCUUGUUUUACUUAGCAUUCCUGGUCAUUUCUUACAGAACAAUACUUCAAAUAGCUUCUUUUAAAUUUUGUAAAUAGCUUGUUACAUUUUUGACAUUGCCAAUGAUAACCUAAAAUUUUUAAAAAAUAUACUCCCUCCUGGUCUUUCUGCUACAGUACUUUGAUUUAAACAAAAUAGGAUGAUUGAAUUGGCUUUAUUCUAAUUUCAGAUCUUUUUAAAAAAUCAGUUUGUAUGUAAUGACUAAGUCUUCUAACACUUUUUUCUUUCCCCCUCCUUUAAUCUCAUUUGAUUUUAAUAGAAAGUGAACAAUUGAAAGAAUAAGCAGCUCGUGGUAAACAGCUUGAGAAAAAUCAGAUGAAGAUCCAGAAAGAAAGUGCCCUCCUACAGGAGCUGGAAGACUUGGAGUUGGGUGUUUGAAGUUUUGUGGAAAAUCAGUUACCUGAAAUCAGUGCAAAUACAUUCUCUGUAUUAAACUUAGUAGAAUAAUUAAA